rnacentral:lncRNA from 1 species
UUUGAAAAAUGACUGCAACUCCAGUUGUAGAUGGUAGAUUGUGGAAGAAAACUGCGAUCUGACGAACCAGGAACCCCAUGUGAACCCAAAAGCGAGUCGGCUAGCCCCGAGUCCAUUAAAUGUGGUCUGAACUCAAGAGAACAAACCCUUCGCAUUCCGGUCAAGUAACUUGGUCUUGGAGGGCUAACAGGGGGUGUUCUAAAAGUCAACGGUAGAUGACCCGUACCUCCAUUCAUAUCGAACCACGAAGAUGAGCGCGCUAAUCCAGCAAGACUGGUGGUGGUGGUUGAAGAUUCUCCCGCUCGUACACCGCCAGCG